rnacentral:rRNA from 1 species
UCCUACGGGAGGCAGCAGUAGGGAAUCUUCCGCAAUGGACGAAAGUCUGACGGAGCAACGCCGCGUGAGUGAUGAAGGCUUUCGGGUCGUAAAACUCUGUUGUUAGGGAAGAACAAGUGCUAGUUGAAUAAGCUGGCACCUUGACGGUACCUAACCAGAAAGCCACGGCUAACUACGUGCCAGCAGCCGCGGUAAUACGUAGGUGGCAAGCGUUAUCCGGAAUUAUUGGGCGUAAAGCGCGCGCAGGUGGUUUCUUAAGUCUGAUGUGAAAGCCCACGGCUCAACCGUGGAGGGUCAUUGGAAACUGGGAGACUUGAGUGCAGAAGAGGAAAGCGGAAUUCCAUGUGUAGCGGUGAAAUGCGUAGAGAUAUGGAGGAACACCAGUGGCGAAGGCGACUUUCUGGUCUGUAACUGACACUGAGGCGCGAAAGCGUGGGGAGCAAACAGGAUUAGAUACCCUGGUAGUCCACGCCGUAAACGAUGAGUGCUAAGUGUUAGAGGGUUUCCGCCCUUUAGUGCUGAAGUUAACGCAUUAAGCACUCCGCCUGGGGAGUACGGCCGCAAGGCUGAAACUCAAAGG